rnacentral:rRNA from 1 species
GACGAACGCUGGCGGCGUGCUUAACACAUGCAAGUCGAACGGAAAGGCCCUGCUUUUGUGGGGUGCUCGAGUGGCGAACGGGUGAGUAACACGUGAGUAACCUGCCCUUGACUUUGGGAUAACUUCAGGAAACUGGGGCUAAUACCGGAUAGGAGCUCCUGCUGCAUGGUGGGGGUUGGAAAGUUUCGGCGGUUGGGGAUGGACUCGCGGCUUAUCAGCUUGUUGGUGGGGUAGUGGCUUACCAAGGCUCUGACGGGUAGCCGGCCUGAGAGGGUGACCGGCCACAUUGGGACUGAGAUACGGCCCAGACUCCUACGGGAGGCAGCAGUGGGGAAUAUUGCACAAUGGGCGGAAGCCUGAUGCAGCAACGCCGCGUGCGGGAUGACGGCCUUCGGGUUGUAAACCGCUUUCGCCUGUGACGAAGCGUGAGUGACGGUAAUGGGUAAAGAAGCACCGGCCAACUACGUG